CCCUUAGACGUUCUGGGCCGCACGCGCGCUACACUGACAAAGGCAACGAGCUACUCUUCACCGAAAGGUGUGGGUAAUCUUUUGAAACUUUGUCGUGCUGGGGAUAGAUCCUUGCAAUUUUUGAUCUUAAACGAGGAAUUCCUAGUAAGCGCAAGUCAUCAACUUGCGUUGAUUACGUCCCUGCCCUUUGUACGCACCGCCCGUCGCUACUACCGAUUGAAUGGUUUAGUGAGGCCUUCGGAUCCGCGACUCGUUUGUGGAGAAGUUGGACAAACUCAGUCAUUUAGAGGAAGUAAAAGUCGUAACA
rnacentral:rRNA from 1 species